ACCAGACCCAACACCAGACAUGGUGUUGAGGUCUGCCAUGUUGGCCAGCAUGACAGACGUUGAGAAGAGCGUCAAAUCUCUGGUCACCGAGGCCAACUUGAGGCUAGUUGGCCUCAUGGCCCUUCACCAGGAUGUGAGGGAACCUGCAGCAGGAAGUGCCACUACCGAGGAAAAUCCUGAGCAGCAACCACCAGAGUCUCCUCCCUGACGGAGACCGACUGGGGUUACAAUCAGGGAACCUGUUGGCACCCCUCUAGCAGAAAGGUCUUCUACCCCUAAAGGAAAGGGAAAACAAAAGGCGACUGAGCUCGUCAUUGACUUAGAUGAGUCCUCUGACGAAAAUGAAAUGGCCUCUGCUAAUGUCUUUGACAUCUACUAUACUCAGGAGGAGGAAGAAGUCCCCCUGGUUCGCAAGAGGAAGUUGUCCAGGCAACAUGACGCGGAGUCCAGCCAAAUGCCCUCGGCCAAGAAGAACCGAGCCUCGGGCUCUCCGGCGGAGGGGCCUGCUGCCCAAGAUAUCGAACAACAUCAUCUCGAGCAGGAGGUUCCACCUUCAAAUGCUCCAGCUGCCAAAACUCCAUCACCCCAGCCCCUACCGAACAAACACAACAGGUUGGGGGGGCUUCAAUUGGGACGGAACUGUUACACCGUGCCCUGAGAUCUGCCAAGGACCGCCUGGCCAAAAUCCUCAAACAUGACCACUGCAAAGAGGCUAUGGCUGGGACAGAGGAAAUGGGGGUCGAUCAGAUCAUCAACAGGGCCCUGAACGAGACUGCCAGUGCCAUGCUAACUUUAACGGCUGCCCACCUGCGCUCGGGUGCCAGCAUCGAGUAGUCCCGUGCUUGAGAGUUCAAGUUGAUGGAGGAACUUCAAGCCGCGGAGGCAAGGCACGCAGGGGUGCUGGAAGUGGUGACCCAGCAGAAGGACUCUUUGGUUGCGGAUCUAGUGAAGAAACAGGUCUCUCUGGAAAGUGCUAGAAAAAAAAAUAGAGGAAUACGAGGAGGCCAGUCGAAUCCACUGGCACAAAGUCAAAAGGCUCUAGGAGGAAAAUCUUGCAAAAGACAAGAGCAUUGCCAGUCUCAAGAGCCAAGUGGAGCAACUCAAGCUCACGAACACCAAGGACCUAGAAAGGUACAAGAAUGCGACACUUCGAUGCUUUUACGACUUCUGGAAGCAUAACCAAAGUGCCAAUUUUGGCUACCUUCCAGAGGACGCUAGGAAAGCUGAGCUGGCUCGCUGCGCUGCCGAAGAGAGGGCCAGAGUUCCUGCCUCCCCCAAGAUUUCGUUGGCCACGGGGAUGGAUGGAGGGGAAGCUGCAGAAGACGCAGUUAACCAAGAUGCUCCCCAAGAUCCUCCUGCUGCUCCGUAGCUUGUUUUCUACUUAUUUUAUUUUCUUUUUCUUACAUGACCCACAGGUCAUGAUGUUAAGACAAUGUUUAUUUUCUUAUUGCUACAUGCGCAACUUUUCCUUUUAACUUAACAUUUACAUCCGAGUAGUAUUGCUCGCGGUGUAAAAGAAUUCUUUUGAUAUUAUAAUAGUUUUACUUUAUUAUAA